rnacentral:rRNA from 1 species
UACGUAGGGGGCGAGCGUUAUCCGGAUUCACUGGGUUUAAAGGGUGCGUAGGCGGGCAGGUAAGUCAGUGGUGAAAUCUCCGAGCUUAACUCGGAAACUGCCAUUGAUACUAUUUGUCUUGAAUAUUGUGGAGGUAAGCAGAAUAUGUCAUGUAGCGGUGAAAUGCUUAGAUAUGACAUAGAACACCAAUUGCGAAGGCAGCUUACUACACAAUGAUUGACGCUGAGGCACGAAAGCGUGGGGAUCAAACAGG